rnacentral:rRNA from 1 species
GACGAACGCUGGCGGCGUGCUUAACACAUGCAAGUCGAGCGGAAAGGCCCUUCGGGGUACUCGAGCGGCGAACGGGUGAGUAACACGUGAGUAACCUGCCCCAGACUUUGGGAUAACCCUCGGAAACGGGGGCUAAUACCGGAUACGACACAGCUUCGCAUGGGGUCUGUGUGGAAAGUUUUUCGGUUUGGGAUGGGCUCGCGGCCUAUCAGCUUGUUGGUGGGGUGAUGGCCUACCAAGGCGACGACGGGUAGCCGGCCUGAGAGGGCGACCGGCCACACGGGGACUGAGACACGGCCCAGACUCCUACGGGAGGCAGCAGUGGGGAAUAUUGCACAAUGGGCGGAAGCCUGAUGCAGCGACGCCGCGUGAGGGAGGACGGCCUUCGGGUUGUAAACCUCUUUCAGCAGGGACGAAGCGUAAGUGACGGUACCUGCAGAAGAAGCGCCGGCCAACUACGU